rnacentral:rRNA from 1 species
AAUCAACGCUGGCGGCGUGCCUCAGACAUGCAAGUCGAACGCGAAAGUCCCUUCGGGGGAUGAUUAGAGUGGCGCACGGGUGAGUAACACGUAGGUAAUCUACCUUCGAGUGGGGAAUAACUCAGGGAAACUUGAGCUAAUACCGCAUAAUGCAGCGGCACCACAUGGUGACAGUUGUUAAAGCAUUUAUGCGCUUGAAGAGGAGCCUGCGGCGGAUAGCUAGUUGGUAAGGUAAUGGCUUACCAAGGCUACGAUCUGUAACCGGCCUGAGAGGGCGGACGGUCACACUGACACUGAAUAACGGGUCAGACUCCUACGGGAGGCAGCAGUCGGGAAUUUUGGGCAAUGGGCGAAAGCCUGACCCA